rnacentral:misc_RNA from 1 species
GAAAUGCGAUAAUUAAUGUGAAUUGCAGAAUUCAGUGAAUCAUCGAGUCUUUGAACGCACAUUGCGCCCCCUGGUAUUCCGGGGGGCAUGCCUGUCCGAGCGUCAUUGCUGCCCUCCAGCACGGCUUGUGUGUUGGGCUUCCGUCCCUGGCAACGGGGACGGGCCCAAAAGGCAGUGGCGGCACCAUGUCUGGUCCUCGAGCGUAUGGGGCUUUGUCACCCGCUCCCGUAGGUCCAGCUGGCAGCUAGCCUCGCAACCAAUCUUUUUAACCAGGUUGACCUCGGAUCAGGUAGGGAUACCCGCUGAACUUAAGC